CCUACGGGUGGCAGCAGUGAGGAAUAUUGGUCAAUGGGCGCGAGCCUGAACCAGCCAAGUAGCGUGAAGGAUGACUGCCCUACGGGUUGUAAACUUCUUUUAUAAAGGAAUAAAGUGAGGCACGUGUGCCUUUUUGUAUGUACUUUAUGAAUAAGGAUCGGCUAACUCCGUGCCAUCAGCCGCGGUAAUACGGAGGAUCCGACCGUUAUCCGGAUUUAUUGGGUUUAAAGGGAGCGUAGAUGGGUUGGUAAGUUAGUUGUGAAAGUUUGCGGCUCAACCGUAAAAUUGCAAUUGAUACUGGCAGUCUUGAGUACAGUUGAGGUAGGCGGAAUUCGUGGUGUAGCGGUGAAAUGCUUAGAUAUCACGAAGAACACCGAUGGCGAAGGCAGCUUACUAAACUGCCACUGACAUUGAUGCUCGAAAGUGUGGGUAUCAAACAGGAUUAGAUACCCUGGUAGUC
rnacentral:rRNA from 1 species